CUCUGACCUGGGGCCUCCACUGCACCCACUCAGAGCCUGAGCCAGGCCCAUUAAAGGUGCAAGGAUUAUCACGGAAGGUGGAGAGCUGUGCCAGCCACAGCGGCCCCCAGCCCCUUGCAUCCACGGAGCACCUGGGGCACGUCCUGGUGAGACCAGCCACAGCAGGACCCGGGGUGAGGAAAGAGACAUGCCGGUCACUCAAUGAAAUAACCAUGGAAACGCUGGAUUCAGCGGAGGCGUCCACCUGCCCAGCCGCUCCCCCCGGAACUUCCUCCUUCAGUCCGGGGACCGCAUCCAGCUUCUCCGGGGCCCGCGUGAAACAGGCUCGCCCCUCACCCGGCAGCCACCCAGAGUCCCGGCUUAUCCAUCACUGUCAGGCUCCGAGAGCAGCUCUGUUCUGAAUGCCCGGCCGCUUCUGCAACACACAGGAGGGAACAGGGGUCCACGUGAGACCGGCCACUGGCAGAGGCCUGGGUCAGGCUGAAAGGUGCCUUGCGAGAUGGGCACUCGCCAGCCUGCUCCAGCCAGAGCCCAGUUCCUUCUGAGAAUCACACGGCCAGACAGAGGCUUGCUGAGAAGUGGGUGUCCUCCUCUCUGUCCAGCCCCAGCUGCACGGAAGCGAAGCCGGCCCCAGCGUGACUGAGUCCAGAGCCCAGCCCUGAGCACUCACCAAGGGCCAGGACGAGUCAGUGUGUGGGGCAGGUGCCGCCCCCACGACCUCAUUCCCAAGCUCCCUCUGUGUCCCCGCAGCCCGUGCUGGCCAGGGAGGCAGGAGGGCAUGGCAGGUGCUCCCAGAGCUCGCUUCUCUGCGCGUUCCCGCCGCCCUCCCUCCCUGGUCCUGCGGGCUGCCGGCCUCAGGAUCCAGGUCACCUUAGGUGGCAAAGUUGGAGCCGUGCCCCACCUGCCUUCACUGGCUCAUGUUGACUCCUUCAUCUACGAGACAGUCUGAGCUUGAGGCUUGGAAACUCUCCUCUGCCGGACCUAGCUCUGGGCCAUGGAUGCACAGAGCCCUGAGCUCAGAGACCAGGAGAGGCUGGCACCAUGCUCCACCCAGCAGGUGGCUCCAGGUCAUCUGGAGUGUCCCAAAGCUGCAAGGCUGAGGGAGGCUCCCCCUUCCUGGAGGGGCCCAGGCAGCCCUUGGGAUGGAGCCAGGGACGGUCCCUGACCCCAGGAGCUCCCUCUCCUCCCACGCCUUCCACAGACCCAUCUCCCUCAGGACUGCCUUAACUUGGGGUCACCUAGAAAUAGGUUUAUGGGGAGGCCAUCCCAGGGAACUUUCGCAGGAAUGAGGGCUGAGAUGGGGAAGGGCUGUUGUCACCACCAUGGGGGAUUGCUCCAGUGAGAGGGCCAGCACGGGACCCUCAGAGUCUUCCCACCCAAGGGUCAUGAGAUCCGGGUCAGAGGUCACAGGCUGCUCCUAGGGCCUCUAGAUCUCUGGAGAGCCCUUGGCUGCAGUUUGCCGAUGCCAAUGGCUGGAGGUCAGCUGGCACUCCCACCACGAUGGCCAGCGGACAACAACAGUGUGGGCACAGUGAUGGGCACCCCCCCGUGUCCACUCGGCCGGGCUGCAGUGCCCAGCGGCACGGUCAAGCCCCAUCCAGAUGCCACUGUGGCUGUGCUGCAGGUGUGAUGGACACGCACAAUUGGCUAAUUGCAAGUGCUGCAGAUCACGAGAUGUGGCUGGGCCUCAGCUGCAGCUGAAGAUGAACGCCGAGGCUUCCUGGAGAAGGAUUUCUGCCCCAAGACUGCAACAUAAAAUCCUGCCCGGGCUCCCAGCCUGCUCCCCUGCGGGUCUGCCCUGCAGAUUUCAGAUUCAUCAGCCUGGACCAUCACAUGGGCCAGCGCAUUAAAUCAAUCUCCCUGUGUCUGUGUCUCUGUCUCUCUCCCUCCAAAGGGCGCUGACUGAUACGGGACCCUCUGUGUCUCUGCCUCAGGGCCAGGCUCCAGCCCCCGAGAGCCCCUGGUGGCUCAGCCUCUUCCCCACAGCCCUGCCCUCCACGAGGACGCUUUCGGCCCUUGGUGCUCUCUGUGUUACGGAUUUAUAGGGCUGUGCCCUGGGCCUGGACCUAAGGGGGUCGGGAGCAAUGUCUGGACUUCCUGCCACCCUCAAGGUACGCAGGUAUGUGUGUGCUCAGGAUGAUUUAUGUAGAGGAAACUGGGGGGAAACUCCUUGCAAAUAAACCUCUGAGAUCCUACAGACCUCAGGGGGAUGG
rnacentral:lncRNA from 10 species